AACGACGAUUCGAAUCGCUUAGCAAUCCAGCUGGAGUUCCUAACCACCCGACAUAUGUAGAACCAAAUCUUGCAUAUAUCAACCCAAAGCAAGCUCUCUCCAAAUUUGACCAGGUUCGCGGCACCCGAGAGCACAGUACUCCAUCAUCCUACAGCUGAUCUAGAUGUUUUCCGGUCAUCUCAGAUCCAUAAGGUGGGUACACACUACUCUCGCCAUCUUUCCACUCCCAGUGCGCGAGUAGCUGUUCGCGUCGAGGGAUCACAAGACCGGGCUUACCGAGGGCAAGUGGUUAGUACUAUAAAUUCUCAACCCAGCAGGCCAUAAACGGAACGGUCC
rnacentral:lncRNA from 1 species